rnacentral:rRNA from 1 species
GGUGGGAGGCUUUGAAACCAGGACGCCAAUUUUGGCGGAGCCAGCCUUGGGAUACCGCCCUUGUAGUACUGGGACGCUAACCAUAGGCCAUGGAUCUGGGCUUGGGACACUGUCAGGUGGGCAGUUUGACUGGGGCGGUCGCCUCCCAAAAGGUAACGGAGGCGCUCAAAGGUUCUCUCAGUACGGUCGGAAAUCGUACGUAGAGUGUAAAGGCAAAAGAG